rnacentral:rRNA from 1 species
GUGGGGAAUCUUCCGCAAUGGACGAAAGUCUGACGGAGCAACGCCGCGUGAGUGAAGAAGGUUUUCGGAUCGUAAAGCUCUUUCGUUAGGGACGAACGUGCUCUUUGUGAAUAAUGAGGAGUAAUGACGGUACCUAAAUAAGAAGCCACGGCUAACUACGUGCCAGCAGCCGCGGUAAUACGUAGGUGGCAAGCGUUGUCCGGAAUUAUUGGGCGUAAAGCGCGCGCAGGCGGGAUAUCAAGUCUGUCUUAAAAGUGCGAGGCUCAACCUCGUGAGGGGACAGAAACUGGUAUUCUUGAGUGUCGGAGAGGAAAGUGGAAUUCCAAGUGUAGCGGUGAAAUGCGUAGAGAUUUGGAAGAACACCAGUGGCGAAGGCGACUUUCUGGGCCGUAACUGACGUUGAUGCGCGAAAGCGUGGGGAGCGAACAGGAUUAGAAACCCGAGUAGUCC